CAGGCCAGGUGCGGUGGCUCAUGCCUGUACUCCCACCACUUUGGAAGGCCGAGGAGGGUGGAUCACAAGGCCAGGAGAUCGAGACCAUCCUUGCUAAAAUGGUUCACAUGGUCAUCUGCUCUUUGCAACUUGUCAUCUAUGGAGUAUUUAUGACAAUAUCUUCAUUUGGGAAAUAAGGUAAGUUGUUUUCCUUGGAAGUGCUUCAGAAAUGCUGAUUCAUUUCAAAAACAAACACUUGAUUAAUCUGUGGCAGCAGCAGUGGGCAAACCACAGACGACAGGCCAGAUCCGGCCUGAUACUUAUUUUUCUACAAUCAUGAGCUAACAAUGAUUUUUAUGUUUUUGGAUAGUUAAAAAUGAAAAGAAGAAUAAUAUUUUCUGACAUGUGAAAGCAAUAUGAAAUGCAAAUUUUAGCAUCCAUUGUUACAGUUUUAUCCACCGAUAGCCACCGAUAUUUUUAUUCAGGCGACGCUUAAGGGAGCCCGGCCGCGCCCAGUGCAUUGUGGGAGCGGCCUGCGGCCCAUUUUCGGGAGUAGGUGGAGAACACAGCCAUGUGCAUCUGUUUAAGUAUUGCCUAUGGCUGCCUUCUGAGUACACCAGCAAAGUGAAAUAGGUGCAGAAUAAAUUAUAUGGCACUCAAAGCUUAAAAUAUUUAUCAUGGUGGUGCACUGGCUCACACCUGUAAUCAGUGCACUUUGGGAGGCUAAGGCGGGCUGAUUGUUUGAGGCCAGGAAUUCGAGACCAGCCUGGCCAACAUGGCAAAACACUGUCUCUACUAAGAAUACAAGAAUUGGCCAGGCGUGGUGGCAGGCACCUGUCGUUCCAGCUACUCGGGAGGCUGAGGCAGAAGCAUCCCUCGAACCCGGGAGGUGGAGGUUGCAGUGAGCCGAGAUCGCACCAAUGUACUCCAGCCUGGGCAACAGAGUAAGACUUCGUCUCAAAAAAAAGUAAUGCAAAAGUUAGCUGGGUGUGGUGGCACGUGACUGUGGUCCCAGCUACUCAGGAGGUUGAGGUGGGAGAAUCACUUGAACACAAGAGGUAGAGGUUGCAGUGAGCCGAGAUCUUGUCCCUGUACUCCCACUCCAGCCUGGGUGACAAAGUGAGUCUCUGUCUUAAAAAAAUUUUACAUAUAUAUAUAUAUUCUAGCCCUUUACCGAAAAAGUUUACUCAUCCCUGAAUUACAGCAAUGAAUACCAUACUAUACUUCCCUCUCACUCCCAAUGCUUAAGAGACAUUUAGAUAGGAAAAUUAAGAGUUGUUUAAUAGGAACCAGUGAUUUCAAUAGCUUUGUGGAGUAAUCCAAAGGUUUAUCCCUAAAUUGCAAGUAACCCAAAAUUAGUCUAGAUUUAUUUUUACUUAUUUUUGUUGUUGUUGUUGUUGUUUUGAGACAGAGUUGCUCUGUCACCCAGGCUGGAGUGCAGUGGCAUGAUCUUGGCUCACUGCAACCUCUGCCUCCCAGGUUCAAGUGAUUCUCUUGCCUCAGCUUCCCACGUAGCUGGGCCUACAGGCGCCUGCCACCAUGUCCAGCUAAUUUUUUGUAUUUUUAGUAAGUGACAGGGUUUCACUGUGUUAGCCAAGAUGGUCUCGAUUUCUUGACCUCGUGAUCUGCCUGCUUUGGCAUCCCAAAGUGCUAGGAUUACAGGUAUGAGCAACCGCGCCUGGCCUUUGAUUUAUUUUCACUUUCUCUUCUUCAUUAAUACUAUGUGUAACGUCUGUGUAUUGCUUUCCCUGAUGAAUUAAAGCUUACAAGUGAUGUUUGCAUCUGUCUGUCAGACAUAAAAAGCUUUCUGCAGCAUACCAACAGAAGGUAUGCAUUGAAGUAAUUUGUAAAGAGACAGCAAAGAACAGCCUUGACACGGAUGUGACUGUGUUGUCUACAAUGGACGUGGUUCUUUGUGGUUACUGUGUCUCCAGCUUCUUACACUCAAUGCCUAGAAAGUUAAAACUAUAUAUUUCACAUGGAUUUAAAAGCUUAAAGUUCUUUUGAGAAGGGAGUUCUGGGCUGAUAAUGGAAACAGCCAGAUACAGUUUCUUCUUAGACUUAAUGGAGACUUCGUCAGUUACUAGCACACAUUGUACGACAACUUCCCCUUAGAAACUUAGAAAUCAAGUUUACUGACAGUCCAGUGAUAAAGAAAUACUGAAAAUGAAUACACAUAUGAAAGUGUUUACCCUCAUUGGAUGUUAAAA
ensembl:lncRNA